CGUAGGUGACCUGCGGAAGGAUCAUUA
rnacentral:ncRNA from 37 species